UCUCUGAGAACUGGGGUAGGCUACAAAUCCCGGAUGAGCCCCCACAUGUAAGAGCCCCCCAAAGCUUGGCCUCUGCUCAAGUCCCAGGAUGGGCUGGUCAGCACCCCAAUGACUCGAGAGAAA
rnacentral:pre_miRNA from 7 species